GACGAACCGUGCGAACGUUAUUCGGAAUCACUGGGCUUAAAGCGCGUGUAGGCGGGACGGCACGUCGGUCGCUGAAAUCCCCCGGCUUAACCGGGGAACGGGCGCCGAUACGACCGCCCUGGAGGGACGUAGGGGGAGCUGGAACUUCCGGUGGAGCGGUGAAAUGCGUUGAGAUCGGAAGGAACGCCCGUGGCGAAAGCGAGCUCCUGGACGUUUUCUGACGCUGAGACGCGAAAGCCAGGGGAGCAAACGGG
rnacentral:rRNA from 1 species